CGCAGAGUGGUGCAGUAGUCUGAGUAUUGGACUAUGAUUUUGGAGACCAGGGUUCAAUUCCCUGCUCAGCCA